rnacentral:rRNA from 1 species
AAUACGAAGGGACCUAGCGUAGUUCGGAAUUACUGGGCUUAAAGAGUUCGUAGGUGGUUGAAAAAGUUGGUGGUGAAAUCCCAGAGCUUAACUCUGGAACUGCCAUCAAAACUUUUCAGCUAGAGUAUGAUAGAGGAAAGCAGAAUUUCUAGUGUAGAGGUGAAAUUCGUAGAUAUUAGAAAGAAUACCAAUUGCGAAGGCAGCUUUCUGGAUCAUUACUGACACUGAGGAACGAAAGCAUGGGCAGCGAAGAGGAUUAGAUACCCUCGUAGUCCAUGCCGUAAACGAUGUGUGUUAGACGUUGGAAAUUUAUUUUCAGUGUCGCAGCGAAAGCGAUAAACACACCGCCUGGGGAGUACGACCGCAAGGUUAAAACUCAAAUGAAUUGACGGGGACCCGCACAAGUAGUGGAGCAUGUGGUUUAAUUCGAAGAUACGCGCAGAACCUUACCAACACUUGACAUGUUCGUCGCGACUUUAAGAGAUUAAAGUUUUCGGUUCGGCCGGACGAAACACAGGUGCUGCAUGGCUGUCGUCAGCUCGUGUCGUGAGAUGUUGGGUUAAGUCCCGCAACGAGCGCAACCCUCACUUUUAGUUGCCAUCAUUUAGUUGGGCACUCUGAAAGAACUGCCAGUGAUAAGCUGGAGGAAGGUGGGGAUGACGUCAAGUCCUCAUGGCCCUUACGUGUUGGGCUACACACGUGCUACAAUGGUAUCUACAACAGGAAGCGAAACCGCGAGGUUAAGCAAAUCCUUAAAAGAUACCUCAGUUCGGAUUGCACUCUGCAACUCGAGUGCAUGAAGCUGGAAUUACUAGUAAUCGUGGAUCAGCGUGCCACGGUGAAUGCGUUCCCGGGUCUUGUACACACCGCCCGUCACACCAUGGGAGUUGGUUCUACCUUAAGGCAAGGUUUUAAACCCUUGACCACGGUAUAGUCAGC